rnacentral:misc_RNA from 1 species
GAAUCAUUUUGUCUUUUUCUUCUCUAAAACUCAACUUCUACAGCAAUAAUUAUGAAUAUUUAGGCUAUUAUCUGAAAAGUACAAAUCACUUGUAUUUCAAAGCUGGUGAUGCAUCAAUAUCUGUGUGGUGGGUGACUGUUGAAUCUGAACAUAUUUACUCUAUCCACGAGGUGUAUAUUAGUACCACACUGUUGAUUCUGAAACAAAAUGUUUAGACUCGACAUUCUUUCAAUUUGGUUUUCUUUAUAUGCCUCAAUUUUUUCUUUGGCAUCAAUUGUUUGAAAUAGGUACUUUCUUUUUCUACAAACUUUAAUGCAUGUCUAAUGAUACUGAUUCUCAUUCCACUGGUUUUGAGACCAGAGCUGGCUCCUCUGAAGUGCCU